CAAGGUAUUGGUUGCUCACUCUCCCUCAAGAGCUUCUCAUAUGUGCCCUAGCAUGCAUGCAUCCAAGCUAUAAAAGAAGAAGAAAAAACAACGCUUUCGAUCAGCUGAGUUUCGAUGCGAGAAGCUCUUGCUGGGAGAGUGGACAAGCAGUGACUUG
rnacentral:pre_miRNA from 1 species